rnacentral:rRNA from 1 species
UACGAAGGGGGCUAGCGUUGUUCGGAAUCACUGGGCGUAAAGGGCGCGUAGGCGGCUUUAUAAGUCGGGGGUGAAAGCCUGUGGCUCAACCACAGAAUUGCCUUCGAUACUGUAGAGCUUGAGACCGGAAGAGGUAAGUGGAACUGCGAGUGUAGAGGUGAAAUUCGUAGAUAUUCGCAAGAACACCAGUGGCGAAGGCGGCUAUCUGGACGGUUUCUGACGCUAAGACGCGAAAAGCGUGGGGAGCAAACAGG